GGUUGAAGGUUGAGUAACAUCAACUGGAGGACCGAACCGACUAAUGUUGAAAAAUUAGCGGAUGACUUGUGGCUAGGGGUGAAAGGCCAAUCAAACUCGGAGAUAGCUGGUUCUCCCCGAAAGCUAUUUAGGUAGCGCCUCGGACGAAUACUACUGGGGGUAGAGCACUGUUAAGGCUAGGGGGUCAUCCCGACUUACCAACCCUUUGCAAACUCCGAAUACCAGUAAGUACUAUCCGGGAGAUACACGGCGGGUGCUAACGUCCGUCGUGGAGAGGGAAACAACCCAGACCGCCAGCUAAGGUCCCAAAGUAUUGCUAAGUGGGAAACGAUGUGGGAAGGCUCAGACAGCUAGGAUGUUGGCUUAGAAGCAGCCAUCAUUUAAAGAAAGCGUAAUAGCUCACUAGUCGAGUCGGCCUGCGCGGAAGAUGUAACGGGGCUAAGCAAUACACCGAAGCUGCGGCAAUGUCUUUUAGACAUUGGGUAGGGGAGCGUUCUGUAAGCCGUUGAAGGUGAAUCGUAAGGUUUGCUGGAGGUAUCAGAAGUGCGAAUGCUGACAUGAGUAACGACAAAGGGGGUGAAAAACCUCCUCGCCGGAAGACCAAGGGUUCCUGUCCAACGUUAAUCGGGGCAGGGUGAGUCGACCCCUAAGGUGAGGCCGAAAGGCGUAAUCGAUGGGAAACGGGUUAAUAUUCCCGUACUUCUGACUAUUGCGAUGGGGGGACGGAGAAGGCUAGGUGGGCCAGGCGACGGUUGUCCUGGUUCAAGUGCGUAGGCUUGAGAGUUAGGUAAAUCCGGCUCUCUCUAAGGCUGAGACACGACGUCGAGCUACUACGGUAGUGAAGUCAUUGAUGCCAUGCUUCCAGGAAAAGCCUCUAAGCUUCAGAUAGUCAGGAAUCGUACCCCAAACCGACACAGGUGGUCGGGUAGAGAAUACCAAGGCGCUUGAGAGAACUCGGGUGAAGGAACUAGGCAAAAUGGUACCGUAACUUCGGGAGAAGGUACGCUCUUGAUGGUGAAGUCCCUCGCGGAUGGAGCUGACGAGAGUCGCAGAUACCAGGUGGCUGCAACUGUUUAUUAAAAACACAGCACUGUGCAAAAUCGCAAGAUGACGUAUACGGUGUGACGCCUGCCCGGUGCCGGAAGGUUAAUUGAUGGGGUUAGCGCAAGCGAAGCUCUUGAUCGAAGCCCCGGUAAACGGCGGCCGUAACUAUAACGGUCCUAAGGUAGCGAAAUUCCUUGUCGGGUAAGUUCCGACCUGCACGAAUGGCGUAAUGAUGGCCACGCUGUCUCCACCCGAGACUCAGUGAAAUUGAAAUCGCUGUGAAGAUGCAGUGUACCCGCGGCUAGACGGAAAGACCCCGUGAACCUUUACUACAGCUUGGCACUGAACAUUGAACCUACAUGUGUAGGAUAGGUGGGAGGCUAUGAAGACGUGACGCCAGUUGCGUUGGAGCCGUCCUUGAAAUACCACCCUUGUAUGUUUGAUGUUCUAACUUAGACCCAUUAUCUGGGUUGAGGACAGUGCCUGGUGGGUAGUUUGACUGGGGCGGUCUCCUCCCAAAGAGUAACGGAGGAGCACGAAGGUGGGCUAAUCACGGUUGGACAUCGUGAGGUUAGUGCAAUGGCAUAAGCCCGCUUAACUGCGAGAAUGACGGUUCGAGCAGGUGCGAAAGCAGGUCAUAGUGAUCCGGUGGUUCUGUAUGGAAGGGCCAUCGCUCAACGGAUAAAAGGUACUCCGGGGAUAACAGGCUGAUACCGCCCAAGAGUUCAUAUCGACGGCGGUGUUUGGCACCUCGAUGUCGGCUCAUCACAUCCUGGGGCUGAAGUCGGUCCCAAGGGUAUGGCUGUUCGCCAUUUAAAGUGGUACGCGAGCUGGGUUUAGAACGUCGUGAGACAGUUCGGUCCCUAUCUGCCGUGGGCGUUGGAAGAUUGAAGGGGGCUGCUCCUAGUACGAGAGGACCGGAGUGGACGAACCUCUGGUGUUCGGGUUGUGUCGCCAGACGCAUUGCCCGGUAGCUAAGUUCGGAAUUGAUAAGCGCUGAAAGCAUCUAAGCGCGAAGCGAGCCCUGAGAUGAGUCUUCCCUGACAGUUUAACUGUCCUAAAGGGUUGUUCGAGACUAGAACGUUGAUAGGCAGGGUGUGUAAGCGUUGUGAGGCGUUGAGCUAACCUGUACUAAUUGCCCGUGAGGCUUAACCA
rnacentral:rRNA from 1 species